rnacentral:rRNA from 1 species
UACGUAGGGUGCGAGCGUUGUCCGGAAUUAUUGGGCGUAAAGAGCUCGUAGGCGGCUCGGUAAGUCGGAUGUGAAACCUCCAGGCUCAACCUGGAGACGCCAUCUGAUACUGCCGUGGCUUGAGUCCGGUAGAGGAGCAGGGAAUUCCUGGUGUAGCGGUGAAAUGUGUUGAUAUCAGGAGGAACACCCAUGGCGAAGGCAGCAGACUGGGCGUUUCCUGACGCUGAGGCGCGAAAGCGUGGGUAGCAAACAGG